UUCCUUGUGUAAACUGUCUACUAAUUCAGGAAGUACAAUCUGCUAUAAAAGAAAUGCAAUGUCGACAGACUGGAACUAUAAACUGUUGUAAUUCUAAGGAAAAUUGAAAAAAUGAUGAACGUGGUUGGUACUAUCGUUGUAUAUCUGGUUUUGUUAUUUGGCGUCAGCGAAGAGUGUAAUAGCAAUAGAAAUGUACACCAUUCCGUUAGUGGCAGAGCAUAUUAUCAACGUCAAAACAACAGAGAUGACUGGGGAGUUCGUAUUGAAUAUUCAGUAAGAUUCAAACGAAGUUCGGAGGUAAAAUCUAAAGAACGGAAGUUUCAUGUAGAGAUGGAGUAUGAUGGAAACAAUCGACACAAGACUCCGCUCAAUCCAUGUGUAUUUAACCCGUAUGAUUCGAAUGGAAAAGGUUAUAUAACGAAAAGUGAUCUGGAGAAGAUAUUUGUCUAUUUCGAUGAUGGCGUCAACACACCUGAAAUUCUUCACAACUUGUUUGCGGAAUUGGACAUCGACGAAGACAACAUGGUAACAAAAGAGGAAUUCAACAUAAUGAGAGACGAUGUUAUAAGUCAUGAAAGCUGCAAGAGAAGAAAAGACAAAGAUGGAAGUAGUGCUGAAAAAAAGAAUAACAUGACAGUGUCAAAUUGAUAUCGAUUGAUUGUUUUAAUGCCAAUAUUUUGCUAUUUGUGUGGGUGAAUCUUCAAUCUUCUAAUUAGUUCGGAAAGAAUAGUACUCACUUUAUUUGUAUAUCGGCUUUGCUUUUCAUCACCCUUAUUUCAUUUUACAUACCUUUUUCGUAUUCCCUCAAUGUACACUAUCAUUAAACUUAUUUUGCAUUUGGGUUUCCCACUAUAAUCGAUUUGACAGAAAAUUUGUGUUUGUUCUAUUUAUGUAUAUUUGAGGUAAGUAUUACAUCGACACCUUACAGGGUGAAAUUCUAAUUAUUUUAGCUGUUGUCAAGACCUAUUUAUAACAUACACCUAAUAGAAAACUAAUAAACCGAAACCUAACACCUUAAAGCGUUUAGUCAUUAUCAUUUUGUCCCGAAUUUGCAUUGGUUAUCUAAGCUACAAAUUACUCUUUAUGAAUUCUAUUUUAUAUCAGCUUCUAUCAAAUGAACUACUUCUAAGACAUUCGUACUUCUAAUAAGUGCUACUACUUCCAUAAAAAAAUCUAAUUAUUCAAAAUUGCAAUAUAUUCUAUAAAACACAGAUAUCUAGUAUUUUUUUUUCACUAUGAAAAACUCUUGUGAGUCUUAGAAAAACUCAUGCAGUUAACUCAGUGGACAGUUAUCAUUUGUUUACAUUUUAUACCAAUCUUCAACAUAAUCUGAUAAAAAAAAAGAUGGUUAAUCAUGUAAAUGGUAUUUUAAUAAAGCAGAUCUUAAAUUCCUCUGUUGCAAUUAUAGCCAGUGGCAAUAUUUUGGUUUGUUUAGGCAAGAUUAUAUGGUCAAACUAAUGUAUCUGAAUUCCAAAGGGUUCUAACCACGCUCCUCUUAUUGUUGAUCUUUUUCUUUACUGUUAUGAAUUUAAUUCUAUGGAAAAACUUAAGAAAUAGAACAUUGAAAAUCACAAAAAUAUGAAUGGACAUUUGUAAUAAUUAUAGCUAUACUUUGAUGAUUUACUUGCUGUUGAUAAUUCUGAGUUUAUUUGAAAUGCGGAAUGUAUUUAUCCAAAAGAGCUUCAGCUUAAUAAAGUUAAUAAUACUUGUCAA